rnacentral:rRNA from 1 species
GAUCAAGCGAAAAAGAGCGUAUGGUGGAUGCCUUGGCAUUAGACGCCGAUGAAGGACGCGGUAAGCUGCGAAAAGCUACGGGGAGUCGCAAACAGACUUCGAUCCGUAGAUGUCCGAAUGUGGAAACACACUAGCAUUAGUCUGCUAGUAUCAUUACAUAAAUACAUAGUGUAAUGAAGGGAACCCUGGGAAUUGAACCAUCUUAGUACCAGGAGGAAAAGAAAGUAAAUUAACGAUUACCUAAGUAGUGGCGAGCGAACGGGUAAGAGCCCAAACCGACGAUAGUAAUAUGGUCGGGGUUAGGACUACAAUGAAGUUGACUGUGUAAAUGUAAUAGAAGAUGUUUGGAAAGACGCACCAAAGAGGGUAAUAGUCCCGUACAUGAAACAUUUGCAUUACAAUGAGUAGUAUCCAGAGUAGCACCGAGCACGAGGAAUUUGGUGUGAACGCGGGAGGACCAUCUCCUAAGGCUAAAUACGAUCUAAUGACCGAUAGCGUACAAGUACCGUGAGGGAAAGGUGAAAAGAACCCCGGGAGGGGAGUGAAAAAGAACCUGAAACCAUAUGUUUACAAACGGAGGAAGCGUUAUAGCGACCUCGUACUUUUUGUAGAACGGGCCGGCGAGUUACGGUGUGUAGCAAGGUUAAGUGAUUAAGUCACGGAGCCGAAGCGAAA